CCUUGGAGGACCUCGAUGAUCAUAGAGUUGUUGGAGGACCCAAGUGAGGCCUUGGAGGACCCCAGUGAAACUUGGAGGACCUCAGCUGUGACCAUAGAGUUGCUUGGAGGACUUAUGGGUUGCUUGGAGGACUUACUUGGGGGUCGCUUGGAGGACUUGGGGGUCGCGUUGUUUCUCCUCUUGUUGUUUUACAGGCGAAUAAAACAAAGGGGGAAGUUUUCAGCCCAGUUCAGCCCAUACUGGUCCAUACUGGGUCAUACUGGUCCAUACUGGGUUAUACUGGUCUAUACUGGUCCAUUCUGGGAGGGGAUUGGUCCAUACUGGGUUAUACUGGUCCAUAUUGGGUUAUACUGGGUCCAUACUGGGUUAUACUGGGCCAUGCUGGUCCAUACUGGGUUAUACUGGGAGGGGACUGGUCCAUACUGGGCCAUACUGGUCCAUAUUGGUCCAUACUGGGCCAUACUGGUCCAUACUGGGUCAUACUGGUCCAUACUGGGUUAUACUGGUCUAUACUAGUCCAUUCUGGGAGGGGACUGGUUCAUACUGGCCCAUACAGGGUUAUACUGGGCCAUACUGUUCCAUACUGUUCCAUACUGGACUAUACUGGGCUAUAUGGUUCAUACUGGUCAUACUGGGUCAUACUGGGCCAUACUGGGCUAUACUGGUCCAUACUGAGCUAUACUGGUCCAUACUGGGCCAUAUUGGUCCAUACUGAGCUAUACUGGUCCAUACUGGUCCAUACUGGUCCAUACUGGGUUAUACUGGGGCAUACUGGUACAUUCCAGUCCAUACUGGGCCAUACUGGUCCNAGGAGACUGGGCCAUACUGAGUCAUACUGGGUUAUACUGGGCCAUACUGGGAGGGGGCUGGUCCAUACUGGGUUAUACUGGGUUAUACUGGGAGCACUGUGCCAUACUGGGACCAUACUGGGAGGGGACUGGGCCAUACUGGUCUAUACUGGGCAAUAAUGGGAGGGGUCUGGGCCAUACUGGGCAAUACUGGGAGGGGACUGGUCCAUACUGGGUUAUACUGGUCCAUACUGGGCCAUACUGGGAGGCAAUGAGGCCAUACUGGGCUAUUCUGGGCCAUACUGGGUCAUACUGGGCCAUACUGGGAGAGGACUUGUCCAUACUGGGUUAUACUGGCCCAUACUGGGCCAUACUGGGCCAUACUGGGCCAUGCUGGACUAUUCUGGGCCAUACUGGGAGGGGACUGGGCCAUACUGGGCUAUUCUGGGCCAUACUGGGCCAUACUGGGAGUAAUGGGAGGACACUGGGCCAUACUGGGCCAUAUUGGGCCCCAUUGACGCCAUUACCCCCGUAGACCCCAUAGUGUCCCCAUUGACCCCAUAGAGUCCCCACUGACCCCACAGUGUCCCCAUUGACCCCAUUGGCCCCAUUGACCCCAUAGAGACCCCAUUGACCCCAUUGGCCCCAUUGACCCCAUAGAACCCAUAGUGUCCCCAUUGAUCCCAUAGAGACCCCCUUGACCCCAUAGUGUCCCCAUUGCCCCCGCU
rnacentral:lncRNA from 1 species